AUGAGCAAGGAUGGAAUGAGCAGAGAAGAGAAGGCCAAGCCGGGAGGCAGGGACCUCAGCGGCCGAGGCCAGAAGCAGGAGUCAGAGAGGGAGGGGCUCCAGCUGCGUCCGGCAUCUCUGACGGGUCCUGUCGUGGGGCUGGGGCCACCCCCUGGGUCGGGCACAACAGAGGUCAUGCUGCCCUCCCAAGAGCAGCCCUCCACCACGGCCCCAUCGGUGUUCCCACUGGCCCCCAGGUGCGAGACCACACCCUGCUCCACAGUGGUCCUGGCCUGCCUGGUGUCCGGCUACUUCCCCGAGCCUGUGACUAUGUCCUGGAACUCCGGCUCCCUGACCAGUGGUGUGCACACCUUCCCGUCCGUCCUGCAGUCCUCAGGGCUCUACUCUCUCAGCAGCAUGGUGACAGUGCCCUCCAGCAGGUGGCCCAGUGACACCUUCACCUGCACCGUGGCCCACCCGGCCAGUAAGACCAAGGUGGACAAGCCAGAGCUGCUCCUGGACGACAGCUGUGCCGAGGACCAGGACGGGGAGCUGGACGGGCUGUGGACCACCAUCUCAAUCUUCAUCACCCUCUUCCUGCUCAGCGUGUGCUACAGCGCCACUGUGACCCUCUUCAAGGUGAAGUGGAUCUUCUCCUCGGUGGUGGAGCUGAAGCGCACGAUCGUGCCCGACUACAGGAACAUGAUCGGACAGGGGGCCUAGGGCCAGCCCUCUUGGGUGGAUGUCCAGGGUUUCCCUCGACCCCACACA